UUCUUGUAAGUUAUAAUGUGGGUACUUAAAGAAUAAAGUCAAUAAAUACUAGUGUAUUGACCUAUUGUUGUUCGGGUUAUACAUAUAUACAUAAUGCAUAAUAUUUAUUAAAAAUAUUAUACAUUUUAUUAUUACACUUUUAAUUUCUAUGCAGUGAUGAUGUUUUAUGUUUAUGAAUUAAUUCUAUAAUAUAAACCAUACAUUAAUUAUUCAAUAAAUUUAAAAAGGUUAAAUAUCUUUUAUAAAAAAACACCUUAAGGAAUAUACAUCGAUUUAGUUGUAAAACAAUGCAUAGAUGCACUAGUGUUCAACAUAGGCAGGGCCAUGAAUGUCUUGGGUGGUGACAGUUUAGAGUGUGUCCAAAGGAGAUGGAUGCAAAGUCCUAACAGUACGUUUUCUCUUAUUUUAUGAUUUUUUUAUAGUCAAAUAGUCUAGUGUAUAAAAAUUUCACUUUAAAGAUAAAUAAGUGGAGUGUCUGGGAUUCGACCCCAGCUCCUGCACAUACAUUACGAUGUCCCUACCAACUGAGUUAAGCUCACAAGGAGUAUUAUAAUUUAAUUAUGUGAGAAGAUGUAAUCAACCAUAUAUAUGAUGUAAGAAAUAAAUGAAACUACUCUACAUUGUAUUGGGUCAUUAAUUAUAUUAAUUAUUAAAUUGUUGUUGCACUUGAUUUAAAUAAAUAUAAAUAUUUGUGAAUAUUGUAUUGGGCUCUAAUUGAGAAUGAUUUGUUAUUGGUUGAGUCAUUUGGUUAGCUCGUUGAGAGGUCUCUCUCUUUAUUGGUGAUUUUAUAUUCUGAUCAUCUCAUUGGAUCUGAAUACAUUGUACGUACACAUGAGGAAGAGGGCAUCAACUCUCACUCAAAGCCUCUCAUCCUUGUUCUCUCAUCAAUGGUCUCUACAAUACUGAAAGGUUUAUAAGUCAAGAGAUGGGUCCUGACCAAGAAUUCAAGGUUUCAAGUGUCAAUUAUCUUGCUAAGCGAGCUCAAAGCUAAGUGAAAGCGAGACAAGUCAGAAAGAUCAAGAUUUUCAAUUCAACUAGCUCGCUAAGCAAGCUCAAAGCUAAGUGAAAGCGAGAUCAGGCGGUUAGAAGAGCACAUGUCAGCAAACCCACUAAUGAAGAAAGGCUAGCUCACUAAGCAAGAGGGAGCUUGCUAAGCGAGACUCUGUUUUUAGAAUUAGUAUAAAUAGUCAUCAGUUGCAGAAUUUUUAGAAGAAUUCCAUUCCGACCACUCAAACUCGUCCAGGAGAGAUCCAAGAAUUCCAUCAAAAGCACAACAAUAGUUGAGAAAUCAUCAUUGAUAUGUUUGUUCAUCUCUUUUCUUCUUAAUCUUUUGGAAAGCUAUCAUGAAAAUGAAUAGCUAAUCUCUCUUUUGUUGGGAUUAGGUGUAAAUUAGUACUUUAUUAGUAUGUGUUUCUAUUGAUCAUGGUGUUAUAUAUGGUUUUAGUCGUCUCUCAAUAUUGAUGUUAUCUUUGUUUUCGUUAUUUUAAUCUUUGAUUUGAAUUGUUAUAGACAUAUACCUUUUGAAU